ACAGCAGUAGCCGCGGGAAUACGUAGGUGGCAAGCGUUGUCCGGAAUUAUUGGGCGUAAAGGGCUCGCAGGCGGUUUCUUAAGUCUGAUGUGAAAGCCCCCGGCUCAACCGGGGAGGGUCAUUGGAAACUGGGAAACUUGAGUGCAGAAGGGGAGAGUGGAAUUCCACGUGUAGCGGUGAAAUGCGUAGAGAUGUGGAGGAACACCAGUGGCGAAGGCGACUCUCUGGUCUGUAACUGACGCUGAGGAGCGAAAGCGUGGGGAGCGAACAGGAUUAGAUACCCGAGUAGUCCCUGUCUAUUAUAC
rnacentral:rRNA from 1 species